rnacentral:rRNA from 1 species
AUUGAACGCUGGCGGCAGGCCUAACACAUGCAAGUCGAACGAGUGGCGGACGGGUGAGUAAUGUCUGGGAAACUGCCCGAUGGAGGGGGAUAACUACUGGAAACGGUAGCUAAUACCGCAUACCAUCGGAUGUGCCCAUAUGGGAUUAGCUAGUAGGUGGGGGAAUGGCUCACCUAGGCGACGAUCCCUAGCUGGUCUGCGAGGAUGACCAGCCACACGGUAACUGAGACACGGUCCAGACUCCUACGGGAGGCAGCAGUGGGGAAUAUUGCACAAUGGGCGCAAGCCGGAUGCAGCUAUGCCGCGUGUAUGAAGAAGGCCUUCGGGUUGUAAAGUACUUUCAGCGAGGAGGCGUUACUCGCAGAAGAAGCACCGGCUAACUCCGUGCCAGCAGCCGCGGUAAUUC